GAUGAACGCUAGCUACAGGCUUAACACAUGCCAGUCGCGGGGCAGCAUGGGGGUUGCUUGCAAUCCCCGAUGGCGACCGGCGCACGGGUGAGUAACGCGUAUCCAACCUGCCCUUCACCACGGGAUAACCCGGCGAAAGUCGGACUAAUACCGUAUGUUGUCCAUUGACGGCAUCCGAUUUGGACGAAAGGCUUGGCGGUGAGGGAUGGGGAUGCGUCCGAUUAGCCAGACGGCGGGGUAACGGCCACCGUGGCUACGAUCGGUAGGGGUUCUGAGAGGAAGGUCCCCCACACUGGAACUGAGACACGGUCCAGACUCCUACGGGAGGCAGCAGUGAGGAAUAUUGGUCAAUGGGCGUAAGCCUGAACCAGCCAAGUAGCGUGCAGGAUGACGGCCCUAUGGGUUGUAAACUGCUUUUAUGCGGGGAUAAAGUGGCCCACGUGUGGGCUUUUGCAGGUACCGCAUGAAUAAGGACCGGCUAAUUCCGUG
rnacentral:rRNA from 1 species